rnacentral:rRNA from 1 species
UACGUAGGGGGCAAGCGUUGUCCGGAAUCAUUGGGCGUAAAGAGCGUGUAGGCGGCCAGAUAAGUCCGCUGUGAAAUCUCGAGGCUCAACUUCGAGCUGUCGGUGGAAACUGUCUGGCUAGAGUCCGGAAGAGGAGAAUGGAAUUCCUGGUGUAGCGGUGAAAUGCGCAGAUAUCAGGAGGAACACCGGUGGCGAAGGCGGUUCUCUGGGAAUGUCCUGACGCUGAGGAGCGAAAGUGUGGGGAGCGAACAGG